rnacentral:rRNA from 1 species
UCGCAUAUCAGAACGAUGCGGUGAAUACGUUCCCGGGCCUUGUACACACCGCCCGUCACACCACGAAAGUUUGUUGUACCCGAAGUCGGUGCCUUAACCUCGCAAGAGGAGAGAGCCGCCCAAGGUAUGGCCGAUGAUUGGGGUGAAGUCGUAACAAGGUAGCCGUAGGGGAACCUGCGGCUGGAUCACCUCCUUUCUAGGAGAGAAGGGUCCUGGAUGAAGCGCUCCUAUUUAGUCUUGUGAAGGAUCCGAGUGGAAGCCGGGACCGGAGAAAGACCGGGCCUGUAGCUCAGAUGGUGAGAGCGCACGCCUGAUAAGCGUGAGGUCGAUAGU